rnacentral:pre_miRNA from 1 species
AAACUACUCCCUCCGUUCGGAAUUACUUGUCUUGGAAAUGGAUGUAUCUAGAACUAAAAUAUGUCUAGAUACAUCCAUUUCUGCGACAAGUAAUUCCGAACGGAGGGAGUACAUG